rnacentral:rRNA from 1 species
CUGGUUGAUCCUGCCAGUAGUCAUAUGCUUGUCUUAAAGACUAAGCCAUGCAUGUCUAAGUAUAAGUAUUAUACAGCGAAACUGCGAAUGGCUCAUUAAAACAGUUAUAGUUUAUUCGAUUAUUUUCAUCUACAUGGAUAACCGUAGUAAUUCUAGAGCUAAUACAUGCUGUCAAACCUGACUUUUGUGGAAGGGUUGUAUUUAUUAGAUAUAAAACCAAUACUCAGCAAUGAGGAUUGUGAUGAUUCAUAAUAACUGAGCGGAUCGCGGCUUUGCCGCGACGAAUCGUUCAAGUUUCUGCCCUAUCAGCUUUCGAUGGUAGUGUAUUGGACUACCAUGGCGAUCACGGGUAACGGGGAAUUAGGGUUCGAUUCCGGAGAGGGAGCCUGAGAAAUGGCUACCACAUCUAAGGAAGGCAGCAGGCGCGUAAAUUACCCAACCCUAAUUCAGGGAGGUAGUGACAAGAAAUAACAACUCGGACCUCGUAUGAGGUUGCGAGAUUGCAAUGAGAACAAUUUAAACCACUUAUCGAGUAACAAUUGGAGGGCAAGUCUGG